AUUGAACGCUGGCGGCAGGCCUAACACAUGCAAGUCGAGCGGAGCGGCGGACGGGUGAGUAAUGCCUAGGAAUCUGCCUGGUAGUGGGGGAUACCGUCCGGCAACGGGCGCUAUUAUCGCUUACUAUCAGAUUAGCCUCGGUCGGAUUAGCUUGGUGGUGGGGUAAAGGCCUACCAAGGCGACGAUCCGUAACUGGUCUGAGAGGAGGAUCAGUCACACUGGAACUGAGACACGGGCCAGACUCGUACGGGAGGCAGCAGUGGGGAAUAUUGGACAAUGGGCGAAAGCCUGAUCCAGACAUGCAGCGUGUGUGAAGAAGGUCUUCGGAUUGUAAAGAACUUUAAGUUGGGAGGCGGUAAAAAAAGAAUAAGCACCGGAUAACUUCGUGCCAGCAGACGCGGUAAGAG
rnacentral:rRNA from 1 species